UGGAUAAGGAUGACAACGUGGCUUUGGAUUUUCAAUUCUCUGCCUAGAUCCCAUGAACAGUAACCAGAACGGAUUUAGUUUUCUUUUUCAUCGUGAUUCAAUGAUCGCUGCCUGCAUCACAUGUAUCAAAGAUCCUGCCGUUCAUCAGCUUCUACUAGCCUGUAAAGCGGUUCAGCACCAUUUUUUAUCCAUGGAUUGUUAAAGAUUUGGAGUUGUGUGGAUGUUCCAAUCGAGCUUUGCUAAUGAGUUAAUAAGAAGGGUAGGCAACACCUGUGUUAGCAUGGCACAAAGGUACCAGAUCCAGUCCAUUCAUCACACUGAUACCGCUGCCUACAUGCUCUUCUAGCCCAGGAAUCCCGUCAGUCCACUAGUCAGGUGGGCCAAACUUUAGGAAACAGAUGUAGGAAUACUUGGCUGAUUUUUUCUUACUUGCCAUCGUGGCCCACCUGCUUAGUGGACCAGGUUUAUUUUUGAGCCUGAACAUGUGUACGGUCCGUCCCAUUUCACCUGUUGCGGUGGCGUGUACAUAGGCCUGUGUGCGUUGUAGGAGCUCCUAACAAAUAACUGAACAGAAAGAUGUAGGGUUGUUAAAAAAUCAGCCAUGGUGUUC